rnacentral:rRNA from 1 species
UAGUGGCGCACGGGUGCGUAACGCGUGGGAAUCUGCCCUUUGCUUCGGAAUAACAGUGGGAAACUACUGCUAAUACCGGAUGAUGUCUUCGGACCAAAGAUUUAUCGGCAAGGGAUGAGCCCGCGUAGGAUUAGGUAGUUGGUGGGGUAAAGGCCUACCAAGCCGACGAUCCUUAGCUGGUCUGAGAGGAUGAUCAGCCACACUGGGACUGAGACACGGCCCAGACUCC